UGCCGCGUGCAGGAAGAAGGCCUUCGGGUUGUAAACUGCUUUUGUCAGGGAAGAAAUCUUCUGGGCUAAUACCCUGGGAGGAUGACGGUACCUGAAGAAUAAGCACCGGCUAACUACGUGCCAGCAGCCGCGGUAAUACGUAGGGUGCAAGCGUUAAUCGGAAUUACUGGGCGUAAAGCGUGCGCAGGCGGUUAUGCAAGACAGAUGUGAAAUCCCCGGGCUCAACCUGGGAACUGCAUUUGUGACUGCAUAGCUGGAGUGCGGCAGAGGGGGAUGGAAUUCCGCGUGUAGCAGUGAAAUGCGUAGAUAUGCGGAGGAACACCGAUGGCGAAGGCAAUCCCCUGGGCCUGCACUGACGCUCAUGCACGAAAGCGUGGGGAGCAAACAGGAUUAGAUACCCUGGUAGUCCACGCCCUAAACGAUGUCAACUGGUUGUUGGGAAGGUUCCUUCUCAGUAACGUAGCUAACGCGUGAAGUUGACCGCCUGGGGAGUACGGCCGCAAGGUUGAAACUC
rnacentral:rRNA from 1 species